rnacentral:lncRNA from 1 species
CCACAACACACUUAAAAGGGCAUCAGAUGUCAAUCAGCCCAAGCCCUGGUUGAAGAGGAAUGUUUUCGCCUGGCACCUAAAGAUGGAAACGAAGGCACCAGGCGAGCUUCCCUGGGGAGAGCAUUCCACCAACGGGGAGCCAAUGCAGAAAAGGCCAAUUCUUACGUUGCCACCCUCUGGACCUCUCGUGGAGGAGGCAUAUGAAAAAGGUCCUCUGAUGGGUCAGUUGCUAAGUUCCUAUUCUGCAACUCCUGCAACUGAUGAUGAGAUGUGAUUCUACAAUGGUGAGAACCCACAGCUCUCAGAGAUCCAGAAUGAACAACACAAGGUCAACAUUCCUGCCUUCUGGCCUCCGGUUUGAGUCUGUCUUACACUCGACAUUUUAAAAGCUAAAACUUUUCAGGUCUGGAAGACAUCAACAAAGCUCUUAGUUCUUUGGCCUCGAUAGGAGGAGGCCACAUCCAGUCUUUUUCUAGUAUAUUUUUCAAAGGUUACUGGACAGCUUUACAAACAGCAGAGUUCCAAACCCCACCCAGGCUGAUUCACGAGCCGUUGUGAACAUUCUUUAAAGGUUUUUAUGGGGAAGGUUCAUACGGGGAAAGUUCAUAAAGGUUCAUAUGGAGAGAGGUGGCCUUUGCGGUAUCUAAGGCUCUAUAGGUUGAAUUGGGGCUGGAAACUAAGUGAUAUCCAGUGCAGUUGGGCCACGAUCGGUGUAAGACAUGGUAGGCAAACUAAAGCCUGGGGGCUGGAUCUGGCCCAAUCACCUUCUAAAUCUGGCCUGCGGAUGAUCUGGGAAUCAGCGUGUUUUUACAUGAGUAGAAUGUGUCCUUUUAUUUAAAAUGCAUCUCUGGGUUAUUUGUGGAGCAUAGGAUUCAUUCAUUUCCCCCCCCAAAAUACAGUCCAGCCCCCCCCCCCCCAAGGUCUGAGGGACAUUGGACCGGCCCCCGCUGAAAAAGUUUGCUGACCCCUGGUGUAAGAUGUUCAAACGGCCUCGGUCCAGUAUACAGUGGUGCCUCGCAAGACGAAAUUAAUCCGUUCCGCGAGUCUCUUCGUCUUGCGUUUUUUUCGUCUUGCGAAGCACGGCUAUUAGCGGCUUAGCGGCUUAGUGGCUAUUAACGGCUUAGCGGCUUAGUGGCUAUUAACGGCUUAGCAGCUUAGCGGCUAUUAACGGCUUAGUGGCUUAGCGGCUUUAAGAAAAAGGAAACAAACUCGCAAGAACUCGCAAGACGUUUCGUCUUGCGAAGCAAGCCCAUAGGGAAAUUCGUCUUGCGGAACAACUCAAAAAACGGAAAACUCUUUCGUCUAGCGAGUUUUUCGUCUUGCGAGGCAUUCGUCUUGCGGGGCACCACUGUACCUGAAGGAGCUUCUCCACCCCCAUCGUUCUACCCAGACACUGAGGUCCAGCACAGAGGGCCUUCUGGUGGUUCCCUCGCAGCGAGAAGCCAAGUUACAGGGAGCCAGGCAGAGGGCCUUCUUGGUAGUGGCACCCGCCCUGUGGAACGCCCUCCCACCAGAUGUCAAAGAGAAAAACAACUACCAGACUUUUAGAGGGCAUCUGAAGGCAGCCCUCUUUAGGGAAGCUUUUAAGGUUUAACAGACUAUUGUAUUUUAAUAUUUUGCUGGAAGCCGCCCAGAGUGGCUGGGGGGUAUAAAUGAAUUAUUAUUAUUAUUAUUAUUAUUAUUAUUAUUAUUAUUAUUAUUAUUAUUAUUACCGUACAGGGAAGGUGGCUGCCAAACAUCAAUGGGCAGUGAGUUCCAGAGAUGCCACAUUGAGAGAUGGAUUCCGCGAGAGUGCAGAACAAACUCCUUUUGGCAUAACAUGUAGCUUUGCUCUUUGCAAAACCGUUUGUCAGGGAAAACCUGCGAUGGCAGAAUGAAGAUCCUUCCGUCUUCUUACUGACAGAGAAAGAGAACGGGAAAAAAUUACCCGUUACUUUAAGAGAGAUUCUCAUACGGACAAAAAAUGCCUGUUGGGGCAUGCCUAGAAAAAUGAAAAAUUGGUUCCUCUUUCGGAUGGAUGGAUUUAUUUUGCCUGCUAUAGGCAUUACAUAUUUGAGGAAGGAGAAAGAGGCCUCCCCCCCAAUAAGAAUGAUGAAAAUUAGGUUUUGAGAGACAAUGUCGUCCAUCUUCCUCAUCAAAUUCCACAAGGUUCAAUGUUUUUCACUGUCAACUUUUAUUUUUGUAUCUGUUUCCGCCCCCCGCCCCAGAAUCCUUGGAAAUUUGGUACAGUGCAGCCAACAGGAUUUCUGCCCUCAUUCCAGAUCAACGGCUUCUGCUUUUAAAGUUCGUUUGGCGGCAACCCUUGAAUAAUUCAGUGACAAAAAAAGGUUGCUCUAAGGCCUCCUUCCCUGCAAGAUUGUUUUCAUUUUUUACAUCAAGGACCCAAUUCAGGGCAACAUGUAAGCUAUCCAACCGGGUGAAUCAAAUAGUUUAUGAUCUUUUUCUUUUUUUUUAAUAAUAAUUUUUAUUGAUUUUAACAUAUAAAUUAUAGAAUGCACCACGAAACUUAUCACUUAUACAAUCUUUUUAGACUUCCAUCAGCACCUCUGAUAAUCCACCGUUUUGUCCACUUCUUAUACAUUUCUUAACUUUAUAUUGCCUUUAAGUCUCUUAACAAAUUAUCCUUUCCCUUAUCUAUUUUUGCAAUACUUCCAAUAAUACUCCUCACAGAACUUCUUGCAAACCAACAAACGUCGUCUGGUCUUCACAAAUACUUUUCAAAUAGUCCAUAAAUUUACUCCAGUCUUCCAUGAAUUUCUGGUCCCGCCGGUUUCGAAUGCUUCCUCUUAAUUUAUCUAAUUCUGCAUAGUCCAUUAACUUCAUCCUUCAUUCUUCAGUCGUCGGUAGUUCUUCUUGCUUCCAUUUUUGGGCUAAUAAUAUUCUUGCUGCUGUUAUUGCCAAAUAGUUUAUGAUCAGAUAUACCCUCCCCUUGCUAGAACCCAGGUUGGGUUACAAUAAUAUCAGUUUAAAAUCAGGUGCAAGGAAGGGGUUGAAAAAGAGAGGGAUGGGAAAAUGGAAUGGAGAGUCUGGAAUCCUAAACAGGCAGGCCUUCACCCUGCAACAUUUUGCUGGAGAUACCUCUCAUUAGAGGUGCCUUGAAAUUUAAUCAAUGGGCAUGUUGCUCUUAUUAAUUUUAUUGGUUGUAAGCCACUUUUGGACGCAGGUGGCGCUGUGGGUUAAACCACAGAGCCUAGGACUUGCCGAUCAGAAGGCCGGCGGUUCAAAUCCCCGCGAUGGGGUGAGCUCCCGUUGCUCGGUCCCUGCUCCUGCCAAUCUAGCAGUUCGAAAGCACCUCAAAGUGCAAGUAGAUAAAUAGGUACCGCUCCGGCGGAAAGGUAAACAGCGUUUCUGUGCGCUGCUCUGGUUCGCCAGAAGUGGCUUAGUCAUGCUGGCCACAUGACCCGGAAGCUGUACGCCAGCUCCCUUGGCCUAUAGAGCAAGAUGAGCGCCGCAACCCCAGAGUCGGUCACAACUGGACCUAAUGGUCAGGGGUCCCUUUACCUUUAAGCCACUUUUAGGGUGCCACCGACUGGUGGAAAAGCAGAAUCGUCAUCAUCAUUUGACACCUAGUGUGAAGAAGAAGAAGAAGAAGAGUUUGGAUUUGAUAUCCCGCUUUAUCACUACCCGAAGGAGUCUCAAAGCGGCUAACAAUCUCCUUUCCCUUCCUCUCCCACAACAAACACUCUGUGAGGUGAGUGAGGCUGAGAGACUUCAGAGAAGUGUGACUGGCCCAAGGUCACCCAGCAGCUGCAUGUGGUUGAGCGGAGACACGAACCCGGUUCCCCAGAUUACGAAUCUACUGCUCUUAACCACUACAUCACACUGGCUCUGUGUGUCAGGAGAUGGCUAGUUUAGAACCCUGACCUGCUUCUUUUCUAUGUUCAGGGAAUUCUUUCCUAUAGAGGUGCAACACCAGCUGCUAUUUUCCUAUCAGACACAUUUGAUGAUGAGAACAAAGGUUUUGCAACCCCUCACCAUUUUUUUCCUGCCAUCUGCAAAUUUGUGUGUGCAAACCCUUCCCUUCUGCUUCUAAGAAUAUCCAUCUGUCAAACUGGUAAGACAAAUACCAAAUUACAUUGGGGCAUGUGAUAUAUGGCUCAUAAACAGUGAUGGAUGGCAGCUUGCAUCCUUCCCUCCACGGAGGUUAUCAGAUCAGUUCAUGCUCAGAUAUUCUGCUUCUUGGCUUUUACCUUUUCGUCUUUUGACUGCUGAAUUAUGCAAAGGGCAUUGGCUGCAAUUUGCUUUGUGUAUUUCAGAUUUUCUUUUACAGCCACAGGCACUGUGAAAACCCCCAUUUGUGUGUUACACAUCACAAAAUUACUGCCACCCUUCUCAGCCACUAUAAGGAAAACUAAGUACAUGCAGUGUUGCAGUGAUGGGGGAAUUUGGGUGGACCUUGGCUCCGGGCUUUCUUCAGACCAAGUCGCAGAUAUCAUCUGCCCCUGGGUAAUUGGAAGGUCCUCUGAGAGUUAGUAUUAAGAAAGGCAGAAAACAUGGAAGAUAAUCACUGAAAUGGCUGGCUACGUCUCUCCUUUUCUUUGAUGGAGUUCCUGCUUCACAGUAGCAGUUUAAAUGUUGCACUUCUUUGUGACAUUUCUAAUGAAAAGCCAAGGUCUGCAUUUUAGCUGGCUGAAGAGCUUUCGUUAAAGGAUUUUGCAGGCUGAAUCUGUGCUCAAUGCAACGGAGCUUAUUGUGCUGUUCCUAAUAAACUGGGUACUUUGCUAUAUCGGAGGUGGGGAAUUGGAUCCAGCUGGUGGGUCAUAUGGUUAAUUCAACCACUCCGUGUAGGUCAAUGGUGGAAGUGUGUGGGACUGCACAAGGGACUUUGACUGUUGGGCAGGACAACCCACGUGUUGAUCAUUAGAUGUCCUAAUAAUACCGGGUGAUUGGCUGGUGACUUGUCCCAUCCACCUGUCAAAGUUCAUAGAAUUGUAGAGUUGUAAAGGACCCAAGGGAAAUCUCAUCCAACCCCCUGCAAUGCAGGAAUCUCAGCUAAAGCAUGUGGGAUGUGAAACACAAGAGGCGUCAAGUACAACAUUCCUAGAGUGAACAUGUUUACACAUGGGGAGGAAUGUUUGUCCAGCCAGCAGGUAAACUUCCUGUUUCCUUCUGGGCUGGGACAGACUUUUCCUCUGCAUGUGACUAGAGGUGGGUGUGGCCUCACCUAUGCAGGUAACGACAAAAGCACAAGGCAGGGCAGCCAUCUCUCUCUCUUUGACUACAUGCAUCGAAGAAGCAACAUCUGCUUAGCCAAAGAUGCUCUCUUGGCCUCCAGCCAAGAGAGGACAAAGGACUGUCUCCUUAUGAGAUAGUUUCCAUGUGUAUGUUACUUUUCUAAGCUUAGCCUGCCUUCUGGGAUCUGACUGUGAACAGAACGUGAGUAAACUCUUUUUAUACUUUUAUAGAAGAUUGUGUUGUGUCUUAUCUUUUAUUUUUAUUUUUAAAAUGAUAUUUAUUGAAAAUUUUUAGAAUUACAAAAGAGAACAAAGCAGAAAAAGAGAAAGAAAAAGCAAAUAAAAAACAAACCACAUCAAACAAUACAAAUUCAAAAAACAAAAAUACACCACAAACACUCAAAAACAAAUCCAUCAUUCUCAAAUCCUCAACUGUCAUUACCUUCUUUCUUUGACCUCCUCCUCCUCCCUUUUUUUUUGUAUCCUAGUUGUUAAUUGUCGCAGCAAAUCCUUUCCAUAUUUCAUAAUAUUCUGUCAUUACAUUACCUUAAUCUAUUUUAAUCUUAUCUUACUAUAAAGAACCUUAAAGCUUAAAACUUAAAUCUUAUUUUUACCAACUUCUCAUAACCAUAAUAUUCUUACAUAAUUCUUUAAACAUUUUUGCUAAAGCCAAGUAAUUUCGUUCCAACAUUUUUCUAACAUUCAUCAAUUUUAUAAAAUAAUCCUAGUAGUAAAAAAAAGAAAUAAAAACAAUCCAAUCUUCAUCCAGCGUCCCUUCCUCCUGGUGUGUCGUGUCUUAUCUUUUAUGAGGGAAUAAGGGGGAAAUACCAGAACAGUUAUUAUACAGGCUUCAGCAAGCCUGAGCAAACGCAUCUGCUGCAAGUUUAAAAACGGGAAUGUUACUCUGCUAAAUUGUGAACUUGUUACCACAAGUUGGAAAGGCUAUAAUCAAACAAUAUAGCCUCUCCUGCAUCCCUGAACAUUCCCACAAAGCACCCAUGACAGAUGACCACCCAACCUCUGCUUAAAAAUCUCCAAGGAAGUAGAGUCCACCACCUCCCAAGGGAGUCCAUUCCACAGACAGAACAGCUCUUACUGUCAGAAAGUUUUCCUGACCUUGAGUCAGAAUCUCCUUUCUUGUAACUUGAAGUGAUUGGUUUGAGUCCUACCCUCUGGAGCAGGAGAAAAAAGGCUUGCUCCACCUUCAAUGUAACAGUCCUUUAGAUAUUUGAAGAUGGCUAUCAUAUCUCCUCUCAGUCUCCUCUUUUCCAGGCUAAACAUACCCAGCUCCCUCAACUAUUCCUCAUCAGGCUUGGUUUCCAGACCCUGGAUCAUCUUGGUCACCUCCCUCUGCACACGUUUCAGCUUGUCAACAUCCUUCCUAAAUUGUGGUGCCCAGAAUUGGACACAGUACUCCAGGUGUGGUCUCAACAAGGCAGAAUGGAAAGGGACUAUGACUUCUCUUGAUCUGGACACGAGGCUUCUGUCAGCCCAUGUGGAGACAGGGACAAGGAAGGAUCUGGUCCUGUGGGCCAAAAUGCUCCUCUUUCAACAGGAGAUGCCAGGAACCGAACCCGGAACCUUCUGCAUGCCAAGCAGGGGCUCUGCCUCCGAGCUGCAGCCCCUCCCUAUAUUUGAACAACUUGCUGUCUUGUUUUGCGUGUUCUCCCUCUGUGUACUGUGGAUUCAGAAAUUCAGAGUCGGAAGCCUCUGGCAAGCCUCCAGCCCGUAUCCAUUGCGAGAGAUGCUCAGCUGUGAGAUUAAAGUCAUUUGUCAAUUGGCUACUGCAGAUAAGGGAGGUAUCUGUUCGGAAAUCCCAGGAAAAGCCUGUGACAUUUCUCCAGCGGCAUUUGCACCUUGCAUUGGGGGCUGUGUGCGACGCUUUGGAUUGUUUAAGAGACAAGCUGCGUUCAUUCUUGGUAUUUACAACAUUUCUCAUCUUAAAAAGCAGAGACAUCACCUUGCCAACAAAGGUCUGUAUAGUUAAAGCUAUGGUUUUCCCAGUAGUGAUGUAUGGAAGUGAGAGCUGGACCAUCAAGAAGGCUGAUCGCCGAAGAAUUGAUGCUUUUGAAUAAAGGUGCUGGAGGAGACUCUUGAGAGUCCCAUGGACUGCAAGAAGAUCAAACCUCUCCAUUCUGAAGGAAAUCAGCCCUGAGUGCUCACUGGAAGGACAGAUCCUGAAGCUGAGGCUCCAAUACUUUGGCCACCUCAUGAGAAGACUCCCUGGAAAAGACCCUGAUGUUGGGAAAGAUGGAGGGCACAAGGAGAAGGGGACGACAGAGGAUGAUAUGGUUGGAUAGUGUUCGCGAAGCUACCAGCAUGAGUUUGACCACAGUGCGGGAGGCAGUGGAAGACAGAAGUGCCUGGCGUGCUCUGGUCCAGGGGGUCACGAAGAGUCGGACAUGACUAAACGACUAAACAACAACAACAACACAACAUUUCUCAGCAUCACUUUUGCCAUUUUAAGAGGGCAUCCUGGCUCCACGUUUUGAGGAGUCCCUCCAUACUUCAUGCAGAAUGAGGAGGCCAAAUUCUGGACAGCACUAGUUCAAGCUAGACUCAUAGAACUGUAUCAUUAGACAGGAUCCCAAGGGUUAUCUAGUCCAACCCCCUGCAAUGCAGGAAUAUAUUUUUUCCCAAUUUUUUUAUUAGUUUUCCAAAUUUAUAAGAAACAUAGAAGAAAAACAUCACAGUAAAAACAAACAAACAAACAAACAAACAAAUAUUUAUCCUAACUGUUAAAAUCCCAAUUUUGUUAUCAUUGUUAGGUGACUUCCUCAAAUCUCCCUAGCUGAGUUUCCAUAUAACUCAUUGUAGCAGUUUUCCAAUACGACUUUCAAAUAAAAUUAAUUUCGUCAAUUAACAUCUUUAUUUCUUUUCAUAUUAUCCUCUAUCCAUAAUGUUAUACAAUUUAACAUAUUUAACUCCUAGGCCAAUUUGGUACUUACAGAUAGUUCUACUUAUGUUACCUUAGCAUAUUUAACUAAAUAGUCCUUAAAUUUCUUCCGUUCUUCUUGGUGCUCCUCCUCUUUCUGUUUGCGGAUUCUUCCAGUCAGGUCAGCCAGCUCCAGAAAGUCCAUCAUGCAAUGCAGGAAUAUUUUGCCCACAGCUGUCCCUGGGUGGGCUUGAACCACCAACCUUCCGGUUAGCAGCCAGAUGCAUGGACCCAUUGCACCACCUAUGAGAUAUGGGGAAUUGUGGUGGUAUGGACCUGGGGGAGACCCUUGUUUGAAAUCACAGAGAGUUGACAGCUUUUGUAAUGUGCUUUUUAUUCAUUCCUAAGUACAAGUUAGGGACACGGGUGGUGCUGUGGGUUAAAUCACAGAGCCUAGGACUUGCCGAUCAGAAGGCCGACGGUUUGAAUCCCCGCGAUGGGGUGAGCUCCCGUUGCUCGGUCCCUGCUCCUGCCAACCUAGCAGUUCGAAUGCACUUCGAAGUGCAAGUAGAUAAAUACGUACCACUCCGGCAGGAAGGUAAAUGGCGUUUCUGUGCACUGCUCUGGCUCACCAGAAGCGGCUUAGUCAUGCUGGCCACAUGACCUGGAAGCUGUACGCCGGCUCCCUCGGCCAAUAAAGCGAGAUGAGUGCCGCAACCCCAGAGUCGACCACGACUUGACCUAAUGGUCAGGGGUCCCUUUAGCUUUAAGUACAAGUUUAGCUGUCUGAUUCUAGACACUAUUGCAUGUCAGCUAUGAAAUGUCAAAUUCCUAACACUGUUGCAUGUUGCCUGCUAAAAUCCUAAAACACUGCUGCAUGCUGCCAAUUGUCCGGUACUAUCUAGUCAGCUAUCAAGAAGCGUCAAAGAACAAAUGCUGAGAAUACGAGAAUACCUGCAUUCAAGACCAACAGCAAUGUAUGUGCUUGGGCUAUUACUUCUGCUCUGUUCUUGGCUAGUGUCAGAGUCACAAAGAAAACGGAAGCCCGGGUAUUGAAAUUCUCCAGGAGUAGUUCCCAGAUAUCAGUGCGGGUUUGCAAAAUGGAAUUCAUUAGCUCAUUCCCCCAGCACAGUUCAUGAUUCAAGUCCACAUAGCCUGCGGUGCUAUAAUGCAUAUUGGAGGGAAAUGAUGAUUUCCUUGCCAAAUAAAGUCCAUCUGCUGCCUUGGCAGGAACCAGAAUGCGAAAGUAUUGAUUCUGACAGCGUUGUCCUGAUUUUUAUCUUCUCAAAAAUGGCCCAGUUUCCUUGCUGCUCUGAUGUUUGAAAGCUGGAAAUAAAGUAUUGCUGUGGGAAGCGACAAAAUCUUGCUUGGAGUCAUAGGGCUGGUGUGUGUCUGUGUGUGUCUGUAGGAGUGUAGGAGAAAUCUGGUUUGAACAUUUUUAUGUGAGCCUAAUUCCCAAUUCCUAAAACAAACAUGCAAACCGAAAAUGCAGCUUUCCUUCAAAUGAUCUUGUCUCCUCAUUUUGUGACGCAGUUCUGCAACCCAAAAUUUGCACAAAAUUGCAAAUGUUAAGAGAAAGUGGGCUAAAAAAUUUGCAUACAUUAGUGAACAUCGUUUGUACAAGUGUGUAUAUUAGAUGCAAACUGAAUGAAAAUGUGUAUGUUGGGGGAAUGCAUAUUAUAAUGCUUGUGCAACUUUUUAUUUAUUUUUAAAAUGGCAGACUGAUGUGAAAAUGUUGCUAACUGACCAGAGCUUGGAAAAACAAAACUGAUGGGAUCACCCAUCCUUAGUUCCCUGCCAUGGAUUCCCUGACUGCCGUUGGGAGGAGACUCUGUGAUUCCCAUCUGUAAAAUGGGUACAGCUUGAAAUCCAUUUGCCACGGCUGUUGGAACGAAUGAGAUAGCUCUGAAUACUCCCACCCAUAAAUUAAAGGACAAUUAGCAUUGAUUUAGAUCAGAUGAAUGCUUUUUGCUGAAACAUUGUCCUAAACGUUUGCCUUUGUUUCUACAGCAUGUAUCUGUGCGUGGUAAUUGGGGUAAGGCUUGACAUCAGUACAGGCUGCUGUUGACUAAUGGGGCAUCUCCUCCUUCCAUAGCACUCGGCUUGUGCUCUAAUUGUAAGCUGUCAAUAUAAUUGUGGAUUCAGGUAGGUAGCCGUGUUGGUCUGACACAGUCUAAAUAAAAAAUUAAAUUUUUUUUUUUGUCUAGUAGCACCUUAGAGACCAACUAAGUUUUUUCUUGGUAUAAGCUUUCGUGUACAUGCACACUUCUUCAGAUACCUGAAGAUACCUGAAGAUAUCUGAAGAAGUGUGCAUGCACAUGAAAGCUUAUACCAAGAACAAACUUAGUUGGUCUCUAAGGUGAUACUAGACAAUAUAAUUGUGCUUAUUGGUUUUUGGGGAAAAGGACAUGCUUUAAGGUAAGACUUUUAAAAAAAAAUGGAAAAAAAAAUCAUAAAGCAACUGUUGGUCGAAGCUUAACAUAAAAAAAAAACCUAAGGUCAUGGCCACUGGUCCCAUCACCUCCUGGCAAAUAGAAGGGGAAAAAAUGGAGGCAGUGAGAGAUUUUACUUUCUUGGGCUCCAUGAUCACUGCAGAUGGUGACAGCAGUCACGAAAUUAAAAAACGCCUGCUUCUUGGGAGAAAAACAAUGACAAACCUAGAAAGCAGAGAUACCACCUUGCCAACAAAGGUCCAUAUAGCUAAAGCUAUGGUUUUCCCAGCGGUGAUAUAUGGAAGUGAGAGCUGGACCAUAACGAAGGCUGAUCGCCGAAGAAUGGAUGCUUUUGAAUUCUGGUGCUGGAGGAGACUCUUGAGAGUCCCGUGGACUUCAAGAAGAUCAAACCUCUCCAUUCUGAAGGAAAUCAGCCCUGAGUGCUCACUGGAAGGACAGAUCCUGAAGCUGAGGCUCCAAUACUUGGGCCACCUCAUGAGAAGAGAAGACUCCCUGGAAAAGCCCCUGAUGCUGGGAAAGAUGGAGGGCACAAGGAGAAGGGGGCGACAGAGGUUGAGAUGGUUGGACAGUGUUCUCGAAGCUGCCAGCAUGAGUUUGACUGAACUGCAGGAGGCAGUGGAGGUAGUCAUGAAGAGUUGAACAUGACUAAACGUCUACAAAGCAACUAGCUUUCCUUCAAAAGGAAGACUAAUUGACCCAAGGAUAGUCAGAGAUGGAUCCAUUUCAAGGUAUUUUCCAAGUCCUAUGCCCCUCAAUACAGGUGACUCUCAAUUUACACCUGGGUCGAGUGAAAGGAUGCGGGUGGUGCUGUGGGUUAAACCACAGAGCCUAGGACUUGCUGAUCAUAAGGUCGGCGGUUCGAAUCCCCAUGACGGGGUGAGCUCCCGUUGCUCGGUCCCUGCUCCUGCCCAUCUAGUAGUUCAAAAGCACGUCAAAGUGCAAGUAGAUAAAUAGGUACCCUCAAGUGGGAAGGUAAAUGGCGUUUCCAUGCGCUGCUCUGGUUUGCCAGAAGCGGCUUAGUCCUGCUGCCCACAUGACCCGGAAGCUGUACACUGGCUCCCUCGGCCAAUAAAGCGAGAUGAGCACCACAACCCCAGAGGCAUCCGCAACUCGACCUAACGUAUGGGGUCCCUUUACCUAGAGUAAAAGGUAAAAAAAGGUAAAGGACCCCUGGAUGGUUAAGUCCAGUCAAAGGUGACUAUGGAGUUUUGGUGCUCAUCUUGCUUUCAGGCCGAGAGAGCCAGCGUUUGUCCACAGACAGCUUUUCAGGUCAUGUGGCCAGCAUGACUAAACCUCUUCUGGUGUAAUGGGACACUGUGACAGAAACCAGAGUGCACAGAAAUGUUAUUUACCUUCCUGCUGCAGCAGUACCUAUUUAUCUACUUGCACUGGUGUGCUUUCGAACUGCUAGGUUGGCAGUAGCUGGGACAGAGCAACGGGAGCUCACCCCGUCUCGGGGAUUCGAACUGCCGACCUUCCAAUCGGCAAGCCCUAGGCUCAGUGGUUUAGUAAGGUCAGGUGAAAAGAACUAACUGAAGAGUGCAGUUUGUUUAUUGGCCAGUGUGUGGCGCCAAGCGAAAAUGGAAUGAGGUUACCAUAGGGGACCAUGUUUAGUUUCCUCUGCAGAGACCUGAGAAUCAGAUAGGACUCCUCUUAUGCCUUUUCUCCAGGUAUGGCGAUUUUUUAAAAGGAAAAACAUUUUCCAGUGGGACUGCAUAUCUGAGGUACUGCUUGGGGGUGGUGGAAUGGAAUGGGAGGCCAGGGAGAGAAAGCCAGGAUUAAUAGCAUUCAGCUAAGUGGAACUAAUUGAGAUGAAAGAUGAGCAAAACUCGUCAGCUCCUGACCUAAUUAUCAGGCAGAUGGAAAGAGCAGGAGAUAAGCAAAGCGAGUGAGAGCACUUAUGGAUAUUGGAAAAUAGCAAGGGUUCAAAAGAGAUACAGGGAAGGAGACCUCACUUGCUUAAAACCUUUGCUGCUCAUGGUAUCAGUACAGCUUAAAUAAGAUGUGCUACUUUAUGUCAGGCGUUCAGCCUACACUCGAGUUGGACCCUGGUAGAGACACAUACCCGACUGGCAUGUUCUCUCCCUCCUGAUCAAUAGUUCGGGAGCUUCAAAAGCUUUCUUCAGCCAGAUCAUCACAGCGACCGAUGCCAGCCGACACAGGCACACUUAGGGAUCCGCAGAGUUUGCACAGCAUGGGGAACAGACCUCAGCAACUCAGCAUUUUGGCUAAUCUACUUUAUUUACAUAUAAACACACACGGAGCACUGCAACAUGGCUCCCUCCCUCUCUAGCAUCAGGCAGCAAAGAGAAAAAAAACAAAGGACAAUAGUCCCACUUCACGGAACACAGUAACACAAACUUCCUGUCUCCGUCACUUCCCACUCUGUGGAGUCAAAACAUACACUGUCAUGUGAUAGACAACAAUCCCAUGACUGCAACCAUGGAGCAGGAAUUCUAACACUUUAUACUGAGUCCAGUGAUGCAUCCAGCUCAGUAAAGUCUACACUGACUGGCAGUGGCUCUCCAGGAUUUUGGUCCAAGGUUUCUCCUAACUGUAUCUGGAGCUGUCUGGGGUUGAAAAAAAGAUGUUCUGCCAGUUUGCUACGGCCUUUGCCUUCAUAGCAACACAGAAAGCUGCCUUUCACUGAGCUAGAUCGUUGGUCUAUCUAGCUCACUAUUGUCUAUGUGGGAUGUAAUUCACUGAGAGCAGUCAAGUACAACAUUCCUUGUAAUGCUAGAGAAGACAUGUGAGGGAAUGUUUGGUCCAGCCAGUCAAACUUCCUGUUCCUGUUCUUCCUGGCUGGGGCAUCCUUCCUUUUGCAUGUGAUAGAAGGUGGGUGUGAUCUAACCUGUCCAGGUAACAAAAGGACAAGUCAUGCAGCACCUCUCUCUCUUUUUUUUAACUUCCUUCUUCAUUUGACCAGCUUUUAGCUAGGACUGCUCUGCUAGCUCUCAGCUAGCAGAGGCACUGCGAUUAUUCCUCCAUAUGGGGUAGCUCCACAUGUACAUAUUUGUAACUAAGUCUGCCUUCAGGGAUCCAACUGUGGACCGAUGUAAGUAAACUUCUUUUUACAGUGGUACCUCGGGUUAAGUACGUAAUUCGUUCUGGAGGUCCGUUCUUAACCUGAAACUGUUCUUAACCUGAAGCACCAUUUUAGCUAAUGGGGCCUCCUGCUGCCGCCGCGCCGCCAGAGCACGAUUUCUGUUCUCAUUCCGAAGCAAAGUUCUUAACCUGAAGCACUAUUUCUGGGUUAGCAGAGUCUGUAACCUGAAGCGUAUGUAACCUGAAGCGUAUGUAACCCGAGAUACCACUGUAUUGACUUGAAAUAAGAUUGUGGCAUCUUUAUUCUUUUUAAGAGGGAUUCAAGGGAAUUUACCAAGAACGUACAAUUCAGUCUGCCUGGAAACCAAUGUCCCCACUGUGGAAGGACGUGUGGAUCCAGAAUUAGCCUCCACAGUCACUUACAGACUCAUUGUUAAAACCGUGUUUAUGGAAGACAAUCUUACUUGGCUAUGAGGGAUCACCAAAGAAGAAGACGCAAAGGCCAAGAGGCACAAGCCUCUCUUUGAGGACCAAGAGGCACCUGUGCCUUUUGAUGCUGUGGUUUGAACUUCACGGCUGCGCCUGCAAAAUUGGCCAAGGGAAAUUGUUACCUAAGGUAAAGGGUAGAGGAAAUGAGAGCCUUUUGUCAGACUAAUGAGAGAAGUGUCCUCAGCGUUUCGCUACUCCAAGCUGAUAAGUGCCCACUUGGAAGAGCUUCCCCUGUGAAGUGGGCUUCUCUUUUGUGUCUUUAAAAAAAAAGAACUCUGGGGAAAUCCUCUGUGAUAAAGCAGAGGCAAUUGUGCUGCGAUGAAGACGCAGAGAAAGCAGUUCAGAUGGAGAGACAGAAAGAGACAGAAAUUAUUCUCCUUUCUCUGGGAGGGUCCUUUACUGCUGCAGAGUGAUUGGUCUUCCUUAGCCUGUCGCUGCGGUCCUGCGCAGCACUUAACCCAUCCCCAAAUCCCCAUUGCAAUCCUGCAAGCACUUAUCCCCAUUUCAAAGGUUUAUUCUACACCAAAGGUGCCUCCAGACUGGUGCUUUGUGUAUGUGCAGGUAGAAGCAUUCUGCAACUGUCAUUGGCACAAUAAUAGUGUGUUAGCGGUGAAUCUGUGCUGGACUGCUCACACAUCGGGGAAACACCGGGGAAUGACUAAUACAGUGAAGAAGAAGAAGAAGAGUUUGGAUUUGAUAUCCCGCCUUUCA